rnacentral:rRNA from 1 species
UACGUAGGGUGCGAGCGUUUAAUCGGAAUUACUGGGCGUAAAGCGUGCGCAGGCUGUUUUGUAAGUCAGAUGUGAAAUCCCCGAGCUCAACUUGGGAACUGCGUUUGAAACUACAAGACUAGAAUAUGUCAGAGGGGGGGUAGAAUUCCACGUGUAGCAGUGAAAUGCGUAGAGAUGUGGAGGAAUACCAAUGGCGAAGGCAGCCCCCUGGGAUAAUAUUGACGCUCAUGCACGAAAGCGUGGGGAGCAAACAGG